rnacentral:rRNA from 1 species
AUUGAACGCUGGCGGAAUGCUUUACACAUGCAAGUCGAACGGCAGCACGGGGGCAACCCUGGUGGCGAGUGGCGAACGGGUGAGUAAUACAUCGGAACGUGCCCAGUCGUGGGGGAUAACGUAGCGAAAGUUACGCUAAUACCGCAUACGAUCUACGGAUGAAAGCGGGGGACCGUAAGGCCUCGCGCGAUUGGAGCGGCCGAUGUCAGAUUAGGUAGUUGGUGAGGUAAAGGCUCACCAAGCCGACGAUCUGUAGCUGGUCUGAGAGGACGACCAGCCACACUGGGACUGAGACACGGCCCAGACUCCUACGGGAGGCAGCAGUGGGGAAUUUUGGACAAUGGGCGCGAGCCUGAUCCAGCCAUUCCGCGUGCAGGACGAAGGCCUUCGGGUUGUGAACUGCUUUUGUACGGAACGAAAAGGCUCUGGUUAAUACCUGGGGCUCAUGACGGUACCGUAAGAAUAAGCACCGGCUAACUACGUGCCAGCAGCCGCGUAA